UGCUAUGACACAUUAGUUAAAAUUUGCUCCAUUCAAGAUAUGCUGUGCAUUUAUUAUUGUGCUAGUGAUAAAGACAAUUGUCUACGAAGCAAGCGGGUGUGUAGGUAAUCUUAUGAAGUGGUAGGUAUUUGUUAAUUAUUUCGCAGAUAAGGUAUAGGUAUAAACGGUACCUAAAAAAAUGUGACGUAAUCCAGUAAGUAUUGUACAACUAUCAUGAAAAAAUCCAGCACACGAAGUGACAUUAAUAACAUUAGUAGGACAUAUGGAACGUAUAAAAGUUCAAUGUCUUAUCCCAAGACUCAGAAUCCUGACCUAAGUACCGAAAUAUUAUAAUUGUCACUUAACCUAUUAACCGCAUAAUGUCGCAAUAUGUGAGACGGACUGACAUUAUUCACAGGAUAUGAUAUCACACGCAGUCUCUCCUUCGUGACACCACGACGUCUGUUGCUGGCAUAAAGCUAAUCUACUUUAAGUGCAGUUCAAAUAUUGUGCGCAAUGUGGAAUUAGUUGGGAGGAACGUUUCAAAAUAGGAACACUUCACGACCAGUUUCUACGGACGAUUUGACAUUUUAAAUCCUGUUGUUUUUACAUCAUACCCAUGUGCAAAUAUUGAUUAAAUACAUAUUUAAACAAUGAAAUAAAAACAGUCAUUUACGUCAUGUGUA